GACGAACGCUGGCGGCGUGCCUAACACAUGCAAGUCGAACGAGGCUUAAGAGCUUGCUUUUAAGCUUAGUGGCGGACGGGUGAGUAACGCGUGAGGAACCUGCCUUUCAGAGGGGGAUAACGUUUGGAAACGAACGCUAAUACCGCAUGAAGUUGACGGUCUGCAUGGACCGACAACCAAAGGAGCAAUCCGCUGAAAGAUGGCCUCGCGUCCGAUUAGCUCGUUGGCGGGGUAACGGCCCACCAAGGCGACGAUCGGUAGCCGGACUGAGAGGUUGAUCGGCCACAUUGGGACUGAGACACGGCCCAG
rnacentral:rRNA from 1 species